CGCAUCUGUGCAUGCAGCAUAUCAAUAAGCGGAGGAAAAGAAACUAACAAGGAUUCCCCUAGUAACGGCGAGUGAAGCGGGAAGAGCUCAAAUUUGAAAUCUUAAAGGGUUUCCCUUUACGAAUUGUAGUUUAAAGAAGUGUUUUCUGUUGAGGUUUUGGUAAAGGUUCUUUGGAAUAGGACAUCAUAGAGGGUGAGAAUCCCGUAUUUGACCUUUACUUUCAACUUUGUGAUACACUUUCAAAGAGUCGGAUUGUUUGGGAAUGCAGUCCAAAAUGGGUGGUAAAUUUCAUCUAAAGCUAAAUAUUGGCGAGAGACCGAUAGGCGAACAAGUACCGUGAGGGAAAGAUGAAAAGAACUUUGAAAAGAGAGUUAAACAGUACGUGAAAUUGUCAAAAGGGAAGCGUUUGACACCAGUGUUGUUUUUCUGAAAAUCAAUUAAAGAACUGUUUAUGCUAAGUUGUUUAGACUUUAUCAGCUAAUCUGCUUAGUUUUGAGCUUUUCUUUAAUGCACUUUUCAGUUAACAAGUCAACAUCAAUUUCUUUUGCUGUAAAAAAGCUUGAGGAAGGUGGCUUGAGAUUCGUCUUAAGUGUUUAUAGCCUCUUGCCUAUGCAGUCGGAGAGAUUGAGGUCUGCAGCGUAGAUCCUUCGGGGCUAAAUGCAUUUGUGCUAAGUUAUAGCAUUUUAUAGACAACUUGUUGACUAUGAUUUGUCUUGUAGCUUACUCGCUUAUGUUAUUUUACCUACGCUUAGGAUGUUGAACGCGCACAGAGUCUC
rnacentral:rRNA from 1 species